CCACAGACAUCCUCUGCUGAAAGCGGGGUGCUGCUGCCUCCAAGGCUGAAGCACAAGUCAUUGACAGGGACCCAGGUGGCCCAGUAGCAGUCCUGCCAUGCAUUUACAAGCACUCUGAGGACAGACUACCCUACUUGUAGUUAGCAAUUGGGCUGAAGCGAGCGCGCCCUAGCUGCCUAUUUAUGGCAGCUGCCACUGAAAGCAAGCCCGCCCCCGCCCCUCCCCUUCCCCUGCUCCCGCCCCCGCCCCUCCCCCUCCCCUGCUCCCGCCCCCGCCCCCGCCCCCAGUAGAAGGGCUGCCCUAUGGCUGCUGCCUCCCACAACCAAAUCAUUUUUCUGGGAACCUGGGGAUCAUCUUGGCUCUGCCUAUCACAGCCAGUGCCUGCACGCCCUGCUCCGGCAUCCCCCUAGUGCCUGAGCACGCCAUCCUCCUGUACCCUACUCCAUUACGAUGUGAUUCCUUCGUGUUAAAACUGUGUACCUUGCCCUACUAACUUUGGAUCUGGCCAAUGGAAUAUAAGGAGAUUUGACCUGUGCUGCUGUGAUUAACAGACAUCAGAGGCAUGGAAGAAAAACAACAGUAACUAGAUGAAGCAAGGACCACCCUUCUGGACAACAAAGGGAGAGGAAUGAAAGUCUGACCUAGGAAAAGACGGAGUCUCGCUGUGUUGUCCAGGAUGGAGUGCAGUGGUGCUUUCUCAGCUCACUGCAACCUCUGCCUCCCAGUUCAAGCAAUUCUUCUGACUCAGCCUCCUGAGUAGCUGGGAUUACAGGCACCUGCUACCACACCAUGCUAAUUUUUGUAUUUUUAGUAGAGACGGGGUUUCUCCAUGUUGGCCUGGCUGGUCUCGAACUCCUGACCUCAGGUGAUCCACCUGCCUCGGCCUCUCAAAAUGCUAGGAUUACAGGUGUGAGCCACCACACCUGGCCAACUUAUCCUUUUUUUAACAUCUAGUUUUCUGUGAGUGUUUUCUAAUGUGCACUGUAGACGGACAUAGUGGUAUGUGAUUACUAUUCAUAGAUAAAUAAUAAUUUGUUUAUUAUUGUGUAAUAAACAUUGUGUGAUAAAGAAUUUGGCUGACCUUUGUUUCUGGUUCUUGAGAGGUAAUCUUUCAACCCAUGGAGUUUCCCAAGUGAUUGGAGUGUCUUUGUUCUUCAAGGUGGGCCCCAUAGAGCAUAUUUGAUGGUUUAUGCUAAUGUGAUGACUCAGGAUGGAAGCCGGCCAUGUUAGGAAGACCAAAGACAUGAUGAGAUGGUUGGGACUUUGAGCCAGGUGGCAUCA
rnacentral:lncRNA from 10 species